AAUCUUGGACAAUGGGCGAAAGCCUGAUCCAGCCAUGCCGCGUGGAUGAUGAAGGCCCUAGGGUUGUAAAAUCCUUUCGUUGGGGACGAUAAUGACGGUACCCAAAGAAGAAGCUCCGGCUAACUUCGUGCCAGCAGCCGCGGUAAUACGAAGGGGGCUAGCGUUGUUCGGAUUUACUGGGCGUAAAGCGCGUGUAGGCGGGUCGUUAAGUUGGGGGUGAAAUCCCGGAGCUCAACUCCGGAACUGCCUUCAAAACUGGCGACCUGGACCCAAGUAGAGGCAAGUGGAAUUGCGAGUGUAGAGGUGAAAUUCGUAGAUAUUCGCAGGAACACCAGUGGCGAAGGCGACUUGCUGGACUUGUGGUGACGCUGAGACGCGAAAGCGUGGGGAGCAAAC
rnacentral:rRNA from 1 species